GGCGGGGUAGCUCAGUGGCAGAGCAGCCGGUUCAUACCCGGUGCAGACGUCGGUUCGAUUCCGACCCCCACCC
rnacentral:tRNA from 1 species